UCAGCACACACACACACCUUUAGCUCCCCACCCCCUUCCUCCCUCCAUUUCACCCUCCCCCACUCAUUCUUUUCAGACCGAUCUUCUGCUUGCCUCCCCCCACUACACCGAGGGCCGCCUUAUCUGCUGCCUCUCCACACGCCGCACACAUUCACACAUGUCUAGACUGCACCGGCACAAAAAAACAAGCCACACUGGGGCUGCCCAACCGGCGCGCAGGAACUGCCCUCCGUGCCAAACUACACGAAUGUGCGAGACUCUGAAGCUCAGAUGGGAGGGUUUACAAGGAGUAGACGGAAACGGACACUUGAUGACAGACAGGCCAGAGGGAUAAAUUUUGGAUUCUUAUUGUAAAUGAAGAUGAUGUCCCUAGCACAUUGUCUAACAUCGCAAACUUUGCUAUUGUGUUGGAAGAGGUUUUCAAAGAUGCUUCAGACCUGUAGUGUGCAGUGACAAACAAAACUUCAAGCCUGCAGUUAUAGAUUCAUUUCAUAACCUUGUUUUAAUGUUACCCUCUUAAGCGUCACCUGGAUGCCAACGCACUGAAGCACUCUUUGUUUAUAUUAGUUUUAGUGUAAAUGAUUGUAAUUACCUUGACAAACUAUACAUCAUUAAAAAGAACUAAAACUCAA